rnacentral:rRNA from 1 species
AUUGAACGCUGGCGGCAUGCCUUACACAUGCAAGUCGAACGGCAGCACGGAGCUUGCUCUGGUGGCGAGUGGCGAACGGGUGAGUAAUAUAUCGGACCGUACCCAAGAGUGGGGGAUAACGUAGCGGAAGUUACGCUAAUACCGCAUACGAUCUAGGGAUGAAAGCAGUGGACCUUCGGGCCUUGUGCUCCUGGAGCGGCGGAUAUCUGAUUAGCUAGUUGGUGAGGUAAAGGCUCGCCAAGGCAUCGAUCAGUAGCUGGUCUGAGAGGACGACCAGCCACACUGGAACGGAGACACGGUCCAGACUCCUACGGGAGGCAGCAGUGGGGAAUUUUGGACAAUGGGGGCAACCCUGAUCCAGCAAUGCCGCGUGAGUGAAGAAGGCCUUCGGGUUGUAAAGCUCUUUUGUCAGGGAAGAAACGGUGAAGGCUAAUAUCCUUUGCUAAUGACGGUACCUGAAGAAUAUGCACCGGCUAACUACGUGCCAGCCGCCGCCGUAA